GAUGAACGCUGGCGGCGUGCUUAACACAUGCAAGUCGAACGGAAAGGCUCCUGCUUGCAGGGGUACUCGAGUGGCGAACGGGUGAGUAACACGUGGGUGAUCUGCCCUGCACUUCGGGAUAAGCCUGGGAAACUGGGUCUAAUACCGGAUAGGACCACAUUUUGGAUGGUGUGGUGGAAAGUUUUUCGGUGUGGGAUGAGCUCGCGGCCUAUCAGCUUGUUGGUGGGGUAAUGGCCUACCAAGGCGUCGACGGGUAGCCGGCCUGAGAGGGUGUACGGCCACAUUGGGACUGAGAUACGGCCCAGACUCCUACGGGAGGCAGCAGUGGGGAAUAUUGCACAAUGGGCGCAAGCCUGAUGCAGCGACGCCGCGUGGGGGAUGACGGCCUUCGGGUUGUAAACUCCUUUCGCUAGGGACGAAGCGCAGGUGACGGUACCUGGAGAAGAAGCACCGGCGAACUACGU
rnacentral:rRNA from 1 species